UGAAGCUGCGGAGCGCUUUUGGAGCCUGUGAAUGAACCCUCCUCCUCUCCCUCCUCCUUCUUCUCGCUGAGUCUCCUCCUCGGCUCUGACGGUACAGUGAUAUAAUGAUGAUGGGUGUCACAACCCGCAUUUGAACUUGCAGGCGAGCUGCCCCGAGCCUUUCUGGGGAAGAACUCCAGGCGUGCGGACGCAACAGCCGAGAACAUUAGGUGUUGUGGACAGGAGCUGGGACCAAGAUCUUCGGCCAGCCCCGCAUCCUCCCGCAUCUUCCAGCACCGUCCCGCACCCUCCGCAUCCUUCCCCGGGCCACCACGCUUCCUAUGUGACCCGCCUGGGCAACGCCGAACCCAGUCGCGCAGCGCUGCAGUGAAUUUUCCCCCCAAACUGCAAUAAGCCGCCUUCCAAGGCCAAGAUGUUCAUAAAUAUAAAGAGCAUCUUAUGGAUGUGUUCAACCUUAAUAGUAACCCAUGCGCUACAUAAAGGUGAGUGUGCUAACAA
rnacentral:lncRNA from 10 species